UUGUGCUAUUCCCUGUCCUCACUGGA
rnacentral:piRNA from 1 species